GACGAACGCUGGCGGCGUGCCUAAUACAUGCAAGUCGAACGCUGAAGGAGGAGCUUGCUUCUCUGGAUGAGUUGCGAACGGGUGAGUAACGCGUAGGUAACCUGCCUGGUAGCGGGGGAUAACUAUUGGAAACGAUAGCUAAUACCGCAUAAUAGUAGAUGUCGCAUGACAUUUGCUUAAAAGGUGCAAUUGCAUCACUGCCAGAUGGACCUGCGUUGUAUUAGCUAGUUGGUGAGGUAACGGCUCACCAAGGCAACGAUACAUAGCCGACCUGAGAGGGUGAUCGGCCACACUGGGACUGAGACACGGCCCAGACUCCUACGGGAGGCAGCAGUAGGGAAUCUUCGGCAAUGGACGGAAGUCUGACCGAGCAACGCCGCGUGAGUGAAGAAGGGUUUCGGAUCGUAAAGCUCUGUUGUAAGAGAAGAACGAGUGUGAGAGUGGAAAGUUCACACUGUGACGGUAUCUUACCAGAAAGGGACGGCUAACUACGUG
rnacentral:rRNA from 1 species